rnacentral:misc_RNA from 1 species
GAGGUCAUGGAGUUGCUGGAAAAAGAGAAACAAUUUAUUUGUAUAUAUUUUUUUUGGCUGGAAAUUGGUCUGUCGGUAAACAAAUAAAAAAAGAAGAGGAAUUUUGUGUCGUUUGGCUGGCUGGCGUUGUGGUUGUAGUCCGUCACUGCUGGCUGGAGUCCCUUGGCUGCUUCUCGUCUUGCUGAUGUUUUCUUCUAAGAAAGAGGGGAAAGGAGUAGCGGUAGCACCUGUUGUUUUGCUCGCUACUGUUCGCUGCCGGAAAAAGAGAGAAUAGAGGAGAUAGAAGAGAGGAGAAGAGGGAGGUGGAGAGGACGGCAUCGAAAGGUGCCUCGACGGAGAUCACCGUGGAGGAGUAAGAGCCGCGGCGCUGCUGGAGCCGUCUGCUGAUGGGCCUGUCCAUAG